rnacentral:lncRNA from 1 species
UCUCAUCAGACCAAGAAGUGGACAAGCAGGUGGAGCUUGAAAUCAAUGCUCCUGGGACAGUGCAAGAUGAUAGUGAAAUCCAAAAUGAAUCACAAGAGGAACAAGAAUCAGUAUCUCAUAUACAACAACGAAGCAUUGCUACAGACAGAUCUAGAAGGAUUUCAAAAGCUCCUCAGAAGUUUGAUGAUUUUGUUACUUGUGUGGAGCGUGAUUUUGAUUCUUA